rnacentral:rRNA from 1 species
CAGGCUUAACACAUGCAAGUCGAGGGGCAGCAUGGUCUUAGCUUGCUAAGGCCGAUGGCGACUGGCGCACGGGUGAGUAACACGUAUCCAACCUGCCGUCUACUCUUGGACAGCCUUCUGAAAGGAAGAUUAAUACAAGAUGGCAUCAUGAGUCCGCAUGUUCACAUGAUUAAAGGUAUUCCGGUAGACGAUGGGGAUGCGUUCCAUUAGAUAGUAGGCGGGGUAACGGCCCACCUAGUCUUCGAUGGAUAGGGGUUCUGAGAGGAAGGUCCCCCACAUUGGAACUGAGACACGGUCCAAACUCCUACGGGAGGCAGCAGUGAGGAAUAUUGGUCAAUGGGCGAGAGCCUGAACCAGCCAAGUAGCGUGAAGGAUGACUGCCCUAUGGGUUGUAAACUUCUUUUAUAAAGGAAUAAAGUCGGGUAUGGAUACCCGUUUGCAUGUACUUUAUGAAUAAGGAUCGGCUAACUCCGUGCCGGCAGCCGCGGUAAUACGGAGGAUCCGAGCGUUAUCCGGAUUUAUUGGGUUUAAAGGGAGCGUAGAUGGAUGUUUAAGUCAGUUGUGAAAGUUUGCGGCUCAACCGUAAAAUUGCAGUUGAUACUGGAUAUCUUGAGUGCAGUUGAGGCAGGCUGAAUUCGUGGUGUAGCGGUGAAAUGCUUAGAUAUCACGAAGAACUCCGAUUGCGAAGGCAGCCUGCUAAGCUGCAACUGACAUUGAGGCUCGAAAGUGUGGGUAUCAAACAGGAUUAGAUACCCUGGUAGUCCACACGGUAAACGAUGAAUACUCGCUGUUUGCGAUAUACUGCAAGCGGCCAAGCGAAAGCGUUAAGUAUUCCACCUGGGGAGUACGCCGGCAACGGUGAAACUCAAAGGAAUUGACGGGGGCCCGCACAAGCGGAGGAACAUGUGGUUUAAUUCGAUGAUACGCGAGGAACCUUACCCGGGCUUAAAUUGCAGAUGAAUUACGGUGAAAGCCGUAAGCCGCAAGGCAUCUGUGAAGGUGCUGCAUGGUUGUCGUCAGCUCGUGCCGUGAGGUGUCGGCUUAAGUGCCAUAACGAGCGCAACCCUUGUUGUCAGUUACUAACAGGUCAUGCUGAGGACUCUGACAAGACUGCCAUCGUAAGAUGUGAGGAAGGUGGGGAUGACGUCAAAUCAGCACGGCCCUUACGUCCGGGGCUACACACGUGUUACAAUGGGGGGUACAGAGGGCCGCUACCACGCGAGUGGAUGCCAAUCCCAAAAACCUCUCUCAGUUCGGACUGGAGUCUGCAACCCGACUCCACGAAGCUGGAUUCGCUAGUAAUCGCGCAUCAGCCACGGCGCGGUGAAUACGUUCCCGGGCCUUGUACACACCGCCCGUCAAGCCAUGGGAGCCGGGGGUACCUGAAGUGCGUAACCGCGAGGAGCGCCCUAGGGUAAAACUGGUGACUGGGGC